GUAAGUGUGAAAAGAAAGAGUGACUGGUUUGGUGGCGUGAGAGAGUGGGACAAAGAGAGUGAGAUUGGUUUGAUAGUGUGAGAGAGUGAGACAGGUUUCGAUGGUAGUACGGCGAGAGUGAGACUGGUUUGGUGAUGUGAGAGAGUGAGACAGGUUUCGAUGGUAGUACGGCGAGAGUGAGACUGGUUUGGUGAUGUGAGAGAGUGAGACAAAGAGAGUGAGAUUGGUUUGAUAGUGUGAGAGAGUGAGACAGGUUUCGAUGGUAGUACGGCGAGAGUGAGACUGGUUUGGUGGUGUGAGAGAGUGAGACAGGUUUUGAUGGUAGUACAGCGAGAGUGAGACUGGUUUGGUGGUGUGAGAGAGUGAGACAGGUUUUGAUGGUAGUACAGUGAGAGUGAGACUGGUUUGGUA
ensembl:lncRNA